rnacentral:rRNA from 1 species
AGGGUUCGAUUCUGGCUCAGGAUGAACGCUGGCGGCGUGCUUAACACAUGCAAGUCGAACGGAGUGCUCAUGACAGAGGAUUCGUCCAAUGGAGUGAGUUACUUAGUGGCGGACGGGUGAGUAACGCGUGAGUAACCUGCCUUGGAGUGGGGAAUAACAGGUGGAAACAUCUGCUAAUACCGCAUGAUGCAGUUGGGUCGCAUGGCUCUGACUGCCAAAGAUUUAUCGCUCUGAGAUGGACUCGCGUCUGAUUAGCUGGUUGGCGGGGUAACGGCCCACCAAGGCGACGAUCAGUAGCCGGACUGAGAGGUUGGCCGGCCACAUUGGGACUGAGACACGGCCCAG